rnacentral:rRNA from 1 species
UCCAGCAAUGCCGCGUGAGUGAUGAAGGCCUUAGGGUUGUAAAGCUCUUUUACCCGGGAUGAUAAUGACAGUACCGGGAGAAUAAGCUCCGGCUAACUCCGUGCCAGCAGCCGCGGUAAU